CUACGACACGGUCUGGAGGGAAACUGCCAUCUUUACAAACGGGACAGGAACCAGAUUGAAUAGAAUAGCGGACCAAUCAGGCUUCCAGACACUUUUCAGAGUCUAGAAGACUGCAUGUCUCCUGCAGCCUGGGAGCAACGUUGAAUCCCCAAAGGGUUGAAGCUGGCGAUUCUCACCUCGCUCAGGAAGGCUGGGAGAUUUCAGCGAUGCCGAUGCUGCUGCCCCUUCCUCUCAUCCUCCUCCCUCACAGCUGACCCUCAUUGGAAAUGGACAGACUGGGAUUUACAGAAACACGGUGGCUGCACAGUCGGGAGGAUGCACUAUGGCAGCAGAGGAGGAAUCAGGAGGUUUUUCACCCACAUGUAGGUGGAAUCUGUUGCUUCACCAAAAUGCCCCGACGAGUUACCUCAGUCAACCUAAACCCCGCAACUUUUCCUAAACAGAAUGCUAAGAAAUCACAGCUGCAGAACUCGUUAUUGUUACACGUACGCACUCAUGAUGAGUCCUAAAAAUGUUAUAUUGGGAUGUGAUUCAAUACAAUAUUUCAAACCAUCAGAAUUUUAAAUGUUCUUUUUUUUUUGUGAGAAAUAAAGUCCUUGUCACUCAGGCA